GACGAACGCUGGCGGCGUGCUUAACACAUGCAAGUCGAACGGAAAGGCCCUGCUUUUGUGGGGUGCUCGAGUGGCGAACGGGUGAGUAACACGUGAGUAACCUGCCCUUGACUUUGGGAUAACUUCAGGAAACUGGGGCUAAUACCGGAUAGGAGCUCCUGCUGCAUGGUGGGGGUUGGAAAGUUUCGGCGGUUGGGGAUGGACUCGCGGCUUAUCAGCUUGUUGGUGGGGUAGUGGCUUACCAAGGCUUUGACGGGUAGCCGGCCUGAGAGGGUGACCGGCCACAUUGGGACUGAGAUACGGCCCAGGCUCCUGCGGGAGGCAGCAGUGGGGAAUAUUGCACAAUGGGCGGAAGCCUGAUGCAGCAACGCCGCGUGCGGGAUGACGGCCUUCGGGUUGUAAACCGCUUUCGCCUGUGACGAAGCGUGAGUGACGGUAAUGGGUAAAGAAGCACCGGCUAACUACGU
rnacentral:rRNA from 1 species